GAUAUCUAAUGAGUAAAGAGCAGUUAUGGAUUUGACAGCAUGAAACACAGCUGGAGUUUACAGUAAGCUUUUUCUCUUCAUGGCUAUUCCUCUGUGAAAUGUUUUUAUGUCUCUAGUGGGCGUGCCAUGCAAAUGAUAUCCUGUGUUUGAAGAAUUUAUGCUGUUAUACGUUCAGCUCAACAACACACCAGCAGUUUGUGUUCAUUUACAGCAACAGUAAUCAUUUAAAUUAUUUGAGAUGGGACCAGGCAGAGUUUUCAGUUGCUUUGCUCUAGCAAUGUUCAUGCAAUAUUCCUGCAGUCAGACUCUUAUCGAGUCUGAUUCAGUGAUCAUCAAACCUGAUCAGUCUCAUAAACUGACCUGCACAGCUUCUGGAUUGGACAUUAGUAGCUAUUACAUGGCUUGGAUCAGACAGGCGCCUGGAAAAGGGCUGGAAUUUGUUGCAACUGUCUACAGCAGUAACAAGUAUUACUCCAGUGCAGUUAAUGGCCGCUUCACCAUCUCCAGAGACGACAGUAAGAAGCAGGUAUAUUUGCACAUGACCAGCGUGAGGACAGAAGACACUGCAGUGUAUUACUGCGCCCGUGACCCACAGUGAUACUUCUCCCUAGACAUCAGUACAAAAACACAUGCUUGCUUUAGUCACAUGACAAGCUCAAAUUUUCAUAAGCAGUGUAGUCAUGGAGGUAAAAGAACCAAAACGUUUUGAUGUUUACUGCACGUGGUUUGUUGUGAAUGUUGUCUGGACUUUUAUGCUAGUGUAAGAUUACUUAAGUCAUGUCUGUAUAUAUAUAUAUAUACACACACACACACACAACAGUGUAAUACACAUUACGUUGACAAAAUCUAAAAUUGAAUUCUUUAACUUAACUAAAUGUUUCCGAGAGUGUGUGUAAUGAGCUCCAGCCAGUAUAAAAGUUCCCAACUUGAACACAGCAAUAUUUCACAGUGUUGUGAGAACUAUGGAAACAGUUGUUCACAGAGAGAGUAAACAGAACUCAAUGCCAUAAAACUUUCAGUUUUUGUUCUAUAAAAUAAAAUAUAAUUAUCUAGAUGCAAUGUGUAUAGGCUGAUAAUGACAAAGGACUCGUUCUUAUUAAUAUGCUUUAGGGCAGCAUGGUGGUACAGAGGGUAACAUUGCAGGAUCAAUUGUUUAAUUUUCUACAAAUAAACCUCUGCUUAAACUUUUCGUUUGAAAUGUGAAUUUGUUUGCUGUUACAGUGUAUAAACACAAUCUUUUUUUCCAUCUCUAACUGCUCAUUAAUACACAUUCAGCUUCUCUCUCCUCACAGACUGCAAUGAUUCACCAUCAUCUCACUUACAUUAAACAACUGACAGAUAAUUUAUCUUUGCUGCUAACAUUAUCAUAGUAUUACUGUAUAUUUAAUUACACUACUCUGCAAAGGUAAUAAUAAAUAACUCUAAAUGUUAUACAUUAUAUCAUCAUUCACAAAGCUUUAAUAACAGUGAUGAUUUGCGA